GCAGGCAGCAGAGUUCUACAUUAACUUAGGUUUGUGGAAGAUAGAAUUUGGGAGGCCAGCCAGGAGACUAUUGGAAUAGCCAAUAGUGAUUAAGGUUACAAAGAUAUAAAUGUGGGUUUCAACAACAUGUAAGCAGAGGCAGGACAAUAUUAUGCAAAUGAAGAUGGGCCACCUUAAUGAACUCCCCCAGUUUACUGCUACGAGUAGACUCUGAAGCCUUAUUGGCAGAAACUUAUAAUGGCCUGAAAGAUGUGAGCUAUACCAGAAAAUGAGGCAGAACCAGGCAAAACAUCCAGCAAAGCUAUCUCAACACUAGGAGAAAUGCCCUUGCAUCACAGCGAGAUUCUUGCAAACAAGACACCUAGAAUUCUCAACAUGGAAGUCAGUGACAAUAUCUGGUGAUUUCAGCUUGCCACUUGCUCCAAAGGACUCCCAUAUUGGACAGCAGGAACCAACAUCUCAGACUAUGCUCUAUGGUCAGUGGCACCCUAUAUUGACGGGCUUUGGCAUCUGACAGGUGCCAACUCUAAGAACCCUCAUCGCACAUCACUGGUCCACUUACAAGAUGCUUUUGCACUUCAAUGAUGUAUCUUGGGAGUAUGCAACAUCAACCAUCAUUGUAAUGUUGGAGUAAGGACCCUUUGCACACAAUGAAAUACACCCUGCUCAUGGAUUGGACCAGGCUGCAUCUCUGCUUUGACUGCCUUGUGUUUUUGCACCUUGCC